UACGUAGGGACCAAGCGUUGUUCGGAUUUACUGGGCGUAAAGGGCGCGUAGGCGGCAAUUCAAGUCAUCUGUGAAAUCUCCGAGCUUAACUCGGAACGGUCAGAUGAUACUGCUUUGCUAGAGUGCAGAAGGGGCAACCGGAAUUCUUGGUGUAGCGGUGAAAUGCGUAGAUAUCAAGAGGAACACCGGAGGUGAAGACGGGUUGCUGGGCUGACACUGACGCUGAGGCGCGAAAGCAUGGGGAGCGAACAGG
rnacentral:rRNA from 1 species